rnacentral:rRNA from 1 species
CCCGUAACUUCGGGAGAAGGGGGGCACCGGUAGGGUGUAGGACUUCGCGUCCGAAGCCCGAUGGUGCCGCAGAGACCAGGCCCAAGCGACUGUUUACUAAAAACACAGGUCCGUGCGAAGCCGAAAGGCGCUGUAUACGGACUGACGCCUGCCCGGUGCCGGAACGUUAAGAGGAUGGGUUAGCCCUUCGGGGCGAAGCCCUGAAUCUAAGCGCCGGUAAACGGCGGCCGUAACUAUAACGGUUCAAUUCCAACGGGCCGUUGGAAAACCCCGCUAUAUGCUGGAACGCCCGAGUAUCCCGCGGUACCGGAUCCAUCCGGUGACAAUCCGUCGGGUGCGGGUAAUCAGCAGGGAAGUCGACGCGUGAGCGUUUGACCCCUCAGAGGCCACACGCGGGGCACUCGAAGAUCGAGUGAAGAUAUGGUCCGACCCUCAUGGCGACAUGAGGAGGGCGGCAGAACAGAAAUGACCGCCCCGCCGACAUCGCUCUUCCGUACGAGCGAGUCGGAGGUAACAGAGUGCCUAAGGUAGGAAUCCUCUUGGCAGGCAAGGGGAGCUGCCCCCCGUACCGGUGACGGUACGGUGCGCAGCCGGCUAUAUGCUGGAAAACCCGAGUAUCCCGUCGGUACUCGUUCAUGUCAGUACCUCUCUCUAGAGUGCUGACGUGAGCAGUGACAAUCCGUCGGGUGCGGAAAACCAGCAGGAAAGGCUCACGACCGCGGGAUGGGUUGUGGGUUUCGCGGAUGGAGAGGGCUGCUUCAGCUGCUCCAUCUAUCGAUGUCACAAGAUGACUCUCGGAUGGCAAGUACGACCUUCGUUCGAUGUCGUCCAAGGGGAGUCGAGUCGUGAUGCUCUCGAGGAACUGGUUCGGUUCUUCGGUACCGGCAGGAUCUAUCGAAACGGUAGGCGGGACAACCAUCGCGAGGCUCUCCUCCGAUACAACGUCUAUCGGUUCGAAGACCUCCGGAUCCGAAUCGUUCCGUUCUUCAGGGAGAACCCACUGCGAACUUCGAAAGGAAGAACUACGAGAAGUUCGCUCGGAUCAUCGAGCUGAUGGAGCUCCGUCGACACCUCUCGGUGGAAGGCGUCAUCGAGAUCGCGGAGAUUACGCAGACGAUGAAUCACAGGAAGCCAUCCAAGGUCCUGGGAAUCCUCAGAGGCCAUACGCCGGCCCUCUUCGAUGAAGAGGAUGAGAUGGUCCGAUCCUCACGGCGACGUGGGGAGGUUGGCAAACGCCAACCCGCCUCUCGAGAUCGUGCAGUCUCGAGCGGUCAUCAAGUAACAGAAUCAGCGAAAUUCCUUGUCGGGUAAGUUCCGACCUGCACGAAUGGCGCAACGACUUGGGCGCUGUCUCAACCAGGGACUCGGCGAAAUUGCAAUACGAGUAAAGAUGCUCGUUACCCGCGACAGGACGGAAAGACCCCGGAACCUUUACUGCAGCUUGGUGUUGGGUUCUGGUACGCGUUGUGUAGGAUAGGCGGGAGCCUGGGAAGCCGGGGCGCCAGCUCCGGUGGAGGCAACCUUGAAAUACCGCUCUUCGUGUGCUGGGACUCUAACCCGGGUCCGUUAUCCGGAUCGGGAACAGCGCCUGGUGGGCAGUUUGACUGGGGCGGUCGCCUCCCAAAAGGUAACGGAGGUGUCCAAAGGUUCCCUCAACCUGGUUGGCAAUCAGGUGUCGAGUGCAAGGGCACAAGGGAGCUUGACUGCGAGACCGACGGGUCGAGCAGGUGCGAAAGCAGGGCCUAGUGAUCCGACGGUGGCUGGUGGUAGCGCCGUCGCUCAACGGCUAAAAGGUACUCCGGGGAUAACAGGCUGAUCGGUCCCAAGAGUCCAUAUCGACGGACCGGUUUGGCACCUCGAUGUCGGCUCAUCGCAUCCUGGGGCUGGAGCAGGUCCCAAGGGUCGGGCUGUUCGCCCGUUAAAGCGGUACGCGAGCUGGGUUUAGAACGUCGUGAGACAGUUCGGUCCCUAUCCGUCGUGGGCGUAGGAGACUUGAGGGGAGCUGCCCCCAGUACGAGAGGACCGGGGCGGACGGACCUCUGGUGUGCCAGUUGUCGCGCCAGCGGCACGGCUGGUUAGCCACGUUCGGCAGAGAUAAGCGCUGAAAGCAUCUAAGCGCGAAGCUUGCUCCAAGAUGAGGUUUCCCACUGGGCAACCAGGUAAGGCCCCUCGGAGACUACGAGGUUGAUAGGCCGGAGGUGUACGCACGGCAACGUGUUCAGCCGACCGGUACUAAUAGGCCGAGGACUUGGCUC